GAUGAAGAACGCAGCGAAAUGCGAUAAGUAGUGUGAAUUGCAGAAUUCAGUGAAUCAUCGAAUCUUUGAACGCACAUUGCGCCCCUUGGUAUUCCAUGGGGCAUGCCUGUUCGAGCGUCAUUUGUACCUUCAAGCUCUGCUUGGUGUUGGGUGUUUGUCUCGCCUCUGCGUGUAGACUCGCCUCAAAACAAUUGGCAGCCGGCGUAUUGAUUUCGGAGCGCAGUACAUCUCGCGCUUUGCACUCAUAACGACGACGUCCAAAAGUACAUUUUUACACUCUUGACCUCGGAUCAGGUAGGGAUACCCGCUGAACUUAAGCAUAUCAAGCGGAGGA
rnacentral:misc_RNA from 1 species